CGGGUGCAGGACCUGCCGGCACCACAGCCCGGCUGCCAUGCUGCACCUGUGACGGAGGCCAGGGAGCAGAGGAAGGGGCUAUUUCUAUGCUCAGCGCCCCAAGCAGUGGGCGCUGGGAAUGGUUUGUAGCCUGACAUGC